CGCGUAUAGAAUCUGCCUUGUACAGGAGGAUAGCCUUUAGAAAUGAAGAUUAACACUCCAUAAUAUAUAGUAAUGGCAUCAUUAUUAUAUUAAACAUUUAUGGGUACAAGAUGACUAUGCGUCCUAUUAGCUAGAUGGUAAGGUAACGGCUUACCAUGGCAACGAUAGGUAGGGGGUCUGAGAGGAUUAUCCCCCACACUGGUACUGAGACACGGACCAGACUCCUACGGGAGGCAGCAGUGAGGAAUAUUGGUCAAUGGAGGCAACUCUGAACCAGCCAUGCCGCGUGCAGGAUGACUG
rnacentral:rRNA from 1 species